rnacentral:rRNA from 1 species
AACGUAGGAGGCGAGCGUUAUCCGGAGUUACUGGGCGUAAAGCGUAUGUAGGUGGUUGGUCACGUCCGCUGUGAAAGCUCCCGGCUAAACUGGGAGAGUGCCGCGGAUACGGACUGACUCGAGGGCGGUAGAGGAACGUGGAAUUCCGGGUGUAGUGGUGAAAUGCGUAGAGAUCCGGAGGAACACCAGUGGCGCAGGCGACGUUCUGGGCCGCACCUGACACUGAGAUACGAAGGCAUGGGGAGCGAACGGG